CGUGAAUUUCCCUUCAUAGCAAGGAGAAGAAAAGUGAAAGUAGAAGAAGGAGAAAAGAGAAAGAAAGAGAAGAGGAAGAGGAAGCAAGGAAGGAACUGUACCAUCAAAGAUUAACCUUGGAUCGAUUGUGCCCAUAGAUGAUGAGGCCAGUGUUUUGUCGUCUUCCUGCUCUGCUUAUGAGACAGUGGCCUUGGAUCACUUGGCCCAUUUUCCAGAGGAUGAGGCCGAUCAUGGACCCAACUAUGGAUGUGACGACUGUGCUUAUGGAGGCCAAUACUUCUGAGAAGUAGACAAUUUAUUUUGAUAUAUCUUUUUGUGUAUAUACUCCCACUAGAGAGCACUCUGAUGUAUAUAGUUACUCUUGAGAUAUUGAAAUUUUGUUUAAAUAUUCUAUUGGAAAUGUAUAUAUAACUUUAUUUGGAUAACUGUAAUAUAAGGUAUCACUUAGUGACACUAGGAAAUGAUGUAAUAUAUCUGUGAUGGACUGUUUAUAUCGUUAUGACCCCUGAUUUAUAGA